rnacentral:rRNA from 1 species
UACGUAGGGGGCUAGCGUUGUCCGGAAUCAUUGGGCGUAAAGCGCGCGUAGGCGGCCCGGUAAGUCCGCUGUGAAAGUCCAGGGCUCAACCCUGGAAAGCCGGUGGAUACUGCCGGGCUAGAGUCCGGGAGAGGCGAGUGGAAUUCCUGGUGUAGCGGUGAAAUGCGCAGAUAUCAGGAAGAACACCUAUGGCGAAAGCAGCUCUCUGGGACGGUACUGACGCUGAGACGCGAAAGCGUGGGGAGCGAACAGG